rnacentral:rRNA from 1 species
GUUGAACGCUGGCGGCGGGCCUAAUACAUGCAAGUCGAGCGAACGGACGAAGCUCUUGCUUCGCUUACGUUGGCGGCGGACGGGUGAUGAACACGUGGAUAACCGACCUAUAGGACUGGGGUAACGUCGGGAAAGCUGAUCUAAUAUCCGAUAAUAGAGUGAAACUCAUGGUUCAAUAGUGUAAAACGUUUUUGCUGUGACUUAUAGGGAGUUCCGCGCCGGAGUAGCUAGUUGGUAAGGUAACGACCUACCAAGGCAACUAUGCGUAGCCGACCUGAGAGGGGGAUCGGCCACACUGGAACUGAGACACGGUCCAGACUCCUACGGGAGGCAGCAGUAGGGAAUAUUGCGCAAUGGGCGAAAGCCUGACGGAGCAACGCCGCGUGAGUGAUGAAGGUCUUCGGAUCGUAAAACUCUGUUAUUAGGGAAGAACAAAAGUAUAAGUAAAUAUGCCCGUCUUGACGUUACCUACACAGAAAGCCCCGGCUAACUACGUG